CCGGCGUCUAAGGUUCCAUUACAAUACCUUACUGAUGAGUCCAGUAGUGGAAGCCGAGACGAAACGCCAA
rnacentral:hammerhead_ribozyme from 15 species